UACGGGGGGAGCAAGCGUUGUUCGGAUUUACUGGGCGUAAAGGGCGCGUAGGCGGCCACCGCAAGUCGAUUGUGAAAUCUCCGGGCUUAACCCGGAAAGGUCAACCGAUACUGCGGGGCUAGAGUGCAGAAGGGGCAACUGGAAUUCUCGGUGUAGCGGUGAAAUGCGUAGAUAUCGAGAGGAACACCUGCGGCGAAGGCGGGUUGCUGGGCUGACACUGACGCUGAUGCGCGAAAGCUAGGGGAGCAAACAGG
rnacentral:rRNA from 1 species